AUGUUUAAUAAUAUAUUAUUAACGGAAUUUUAUUUCGUUAUUAACGCGCGAGUACUUGUAGUCUCGGUGGUACUAUAGAUCAGUUAUUACUUAUUAGCCUGCAGAUAGGUAUAUAGGUAUUAUAAUACUUGGUUAUUAGCUAAUAUAGGGUCAAGCUGAUGGAUAAUAAUUCGAAAAUAAUAAUACGGUGUACGUUACAUAACAUAGUGAGCAUCUAUUUUACAAAAAUAAUUUCUGUCCGACAAGCUCAAAAAAAAAAAAAAUAAUAAUAAUAAUAAUAAUAAAAAAUUACUUAUACGCGUAAAAUGAUUAGUGAUGUAGUGGGUACACAUCAAAAUAUUAUUGUAGCACGUAAAAGAUUGAAAAUGACGAUAAUUACAUGGGUAUAUUUUAUUUACUUAAUAAUGAUAACGACGAGAUCGUUUAUGCGCGGGAAAGUGACAAUAUCACAAUAAGUAUGUUACAAAAACAAUUUCGAUAAAACAAGAAGUGGUUUUAAAUUAGUGUAUAGUAUGAAAAUUGAAAAUUAUUGUAAUUUGUUUGAUUCGUUUCCCGAAACUCUGUUCUAGUCUGGAUGUUCUUCUAAUUGGCAUACCUAUACUCUCUAAGAGUUUUUAUUACCGCAAUUCGCCACUACCUCUAUCAAGAACCUACUCUUUCUCAACUCCUAAGCUUUUAAAAUGUUCCUCUACUAUUGUACGUCGAUCCAUAUAUUCCUGAGUCCUCUUACUCGGGGCUUUCAUUUCAUUGUUUCGUUUUCUCAUCUUCUUGACCUAACUUGACCUAACUUGUAUUGUAUACGCCGUGUUAGUUUCGCCAUAACUCUGUUAAAUUUCCUUCGCCAGUUCCCCGUUGCUUCAUUUUCGAAGCGGGCCCACUCAUUUUCGUUCAUAUAUGUUUAGCGUUUAAACAUAUACAUACUUCAUAGUCAUAUUUGUUCGAAAAAGUUAAAUCAACGAAAAAUAAUUGGAUGUGUUCUUGUUUAUAUUCAUUAUUUAAACAGAGAAAACUUGAAAUUUAUUUGUUCUUCUGUAAAUUAUACAACAAUUUAUUGAAAUUACUUACACAUUGUGGAUAUUUGUAGUAUGCACAAAUGUAAAUGAAAAAAAGAAAAAGAAAAAAAAAGUACCUAUACUUUUCGAUUAUCGCCGAGGUUCGUUCUCGUGGGACAUCUGCAUAAGACAUGAUACGAUAUACGCGUACCUAUAAUGUGAAGUGCUCAUUAAAAAUAUAUAAGAAUAGGUCGGUAC